UGAACAAACAAGUUACGUACUAUUCUGCUUGGUACAGUAACAAAAUUCGCAGCCACUGCUUAAAUUGUUUUCUAUGCAUUGCUGCAGCUGUCAGCUAGCAUUGCACAUUGCAUACAGCUGGAAACAGAGCAGGAUGUGUCCACACAGGGUUCAGAAGACAAUCCAGGCGCAUCAAAUAAAGGUGAAACUGUUAGUAGGGGUGAUCAUACUAAUAGUGAAAAUUUCAUUUGCUCAGCGGACCCCUGAUAUCCGUUGUCCUGUGAGAUACCAUGAAAGUGGGUGUUUUUUUCUGGGAUACUUUAUUCCAGCUGGUCAAAGUAUGGAAAUUCGAAACCCCUGUGUCUUUAUUUCUUGUUCUACGAAUGGACUGACAGUUUCCAUCACUGGGUGCCCGAUGGCAGCCGGGAGAUGUCGGCACCAACACGGAGCGUCUGCACGACCUCCCGGAGGAUUUCCCACCUGUUGUGAACGAUGUCGUGCUGCUUAGAGAGUAUCGCUCUCACUAGAUUUCUAAGACUUUGAGUAUGUUCAUGAAAAUGCGGCACUCUGCCACAGCAAUCUGCCACACAAGCAUAAUAGGAACUUGUGCGCAUACAUUUGCAAACAAAUUUGAAACUAUUGAAGAGAGAAAACUUUACUAACUGUUUAUGGCGAACAUCUAUAUUAAACUUUGCUUAUAUUUUGGCUAA